GAAAGCGAUGCUAAUACCGGAUAAUAUCUUAAAAACCUCGGUUUUAAAGAUCAAAGGUGGCCUCUACAUGUAAGCUUCUGUUUGGGGAUGAGCCCGCGUACCAUUAGCUUGUUGGUAGGGUAAUGGCCUACCAGGGCUGCGAUGGUUAGCUGGUCUGAGAGGAUGAUCAGCCACACUGGAACUGACACACGGUCCAGACUCCUACGGGAGGCAGCAGUGAGGAAUUUUGCGCAAUGGGGGAAACCCUGACGCAGCAACGCCGCGUGAGUGAUGAAGGCUUUCGGGUCGUAAAGCUCUGUCAAGUGGGAAGAACCCACAUGGUGAUAAUACCACUAUGUGUUGACGGUACCACUGAAGGAAGCACCGGCUAACUCCGUGCCAGCAGCCGCGGUAAUACGGGGGGUGCAAGCGUUAUUCGGAAUUACUGGGCGUAAAGAGCGCGUAGGCGGUCUUUUAAGUCAGGUGUGAAAGCCCGGGGCUUAACCCCGGAAGUGCACUUGAAACUAUUAGACUUGAGUAU
rnacentral:rRNA from 1 species